CCUUUCGGCUGCAGACUGAACCGUUUCCUGCUUCCGGACUGGAUUAGAAGGCGUGCCGCGGACGGCAGGUCAGUGUCCGGCCUUCGUCGCGUGCCGCCCGACCUUCAGCGCGUGGCGGCGUCGACUGCGGGCUGACCCCGCGGCGCGCGGCCGGUCAGCGCGCAGCCGCUCGUGGGGGCCGGUCGGCCGGCCGGGGGCGGCAGCGGCACGUCACAGGGGGCGGGCUUUCCAGAGCAUGCCGUUGCAGGUCGGUAUAAAGUCGCCGGCGCAGUGCCGACUGUUUAGUGAAGGUCACCGUGCGGCCCGGAGCGGGCUUCCAUCUGGAUCGCGGACCGGGACGGUCACUCGCGGACUCGGUGUGCUUUUCGGCAUUCACUCGGAUCGGACGCAGUCAUGAAGGUGGCCGCAGGACUACUGAUGCUGGCUGCUGGCUGCUGGGGAGCACUGCUACCCCACAGUGGAGGUUCACACAGCCACGAGCCGCACCCGCACCCCCACGAGCCGCAGAAGCAGACCGAGCUGACUCUGCCCGGUGGCUACCUGCCGCCUUCCCGGGAGUACCUGCCGCCGCCAAAGGCCACCGACCCGCCGAACGGCUACCUGCCGCCGCCAGUGGAUCCUCCUAAGAACUAUCUCCCUCCUGUGGACCCUCCCAAAACUUACCUACCUCCCGUGGAUCCUCCCAAAACUUACCUCCCUCCCGUGGAUCCUCCUAAAACUUACCUCCCUCCCGUAGACCCUCCCAAAACUUACCUUCCUCCCGUGGAUCCUCCUAAAACUUACCUCCCUCCCGUGGAUCCUCCCAAAACUUACCUCCCUCCCGUGGAUCCUCCUAAAACUUACCUCCCUCCCGUGGAUCCUCCCAAAACUUACCUCCCUCCCGUAGACCCUCCCAAAGCUUACCUCCCUCCCGUGGAUCCUCCCAAAACUUACCUUCCUCCCGUGGAUCCUCCCAAAACUUACCUCCCUCCCGUGGAUCCUCCUAAGGCUUACCUUCCUCCCGUGGAUCCUCCUAAGGCUUACCUUCCUCCUCCCGUUGAUCCUCCUAAGACCUACCUUCCCCCGGUCGACCCUCCCAAGGCGUAUCUCCCUCCUGCGCGGAAGCUGCCGUCCAAGUACCUGCCGCCGGUGCUGAAUAACUCGUACCUGCCACCUGCAGUAUAGACGGAACACGGGUGUGCUAACUGUGAUGCUGUGAUGCCAUUGUGUGCGACGGAACCAAGUGUGAUGAAACGAAACCCGGUGGCAAAAACGUCUCCAUAGAAUGGACAUUGGUAACUACUCUUCUGCAAACAUCUCAUGAACUGUUACUGCGUGAUGUGAUGUUGUUUGUUUAUUGGGUGGCGCUUCAAACGCCCCAUGUGUACUGGUAUUAUUGUGAUAAUAUAUAUGAUAACACAUAAACGUAAAA